AUGUAUGUUUCUCCAGGUUUAGUGGUUGUGAUACUCCUACUACUUGGAAAAACCAGUGGUGAAUCAGUGACCCAGAAGGGAGGUGAAAUGAUAGUGUCAGAAGGGGCUUUCUUGACCAUAAACUGCACUUAUACAACUGCAGGGUUCCCUUAUCUUUUCUGGUAUGUCCAAUAUCCCAGAGAAGGUCCACAGCUCCUCUUCAGAGUUACAAAGUCUGGUGAAAAGAGCAGCCACGUAGGAUUUGAAGCCACGUACAAUAGAGAGAACACCUCGUUCCACUUGAAGAAAGCCUCAGUGCAUGAGUCAGACUCAGCUGUGUUCUACUGUGCUCUGAGUGACACAGUGGCAGAAACCACUGGGCUGAGCACAAACUGA